ensembl:lncRNA
CAGACACCUGGUUUUUCUCUUGAAUUGUACAAUCAUUGUUUCUUAAUAAAAGUGAUAAAUUUAUUGCAGGUGUUUCCAAUCACCAUUACCUUUCAAGUGCUAGUGUGCCCUUUCAAGGGCUCUCCAAUUUUUCCUUGCAUGGUGGUGGUGAUACAUUUUACUAGAAAUGACUGUAAGCAACUGUCUUCCUCAUGCCUAGCAGCUGGAUCGAUCGCAAACCACUUCUCAGGCUGCAGGUCUGUUUCUACUGCAGAAAUUUAAAGAGGAUCAGCCUACUUCUGGAGCUUUUAGGAGGUCAUGGCGCACAACUUUAUCAGGAGGACGGGCCUUGAUCUUCAACAGUCCUGAGCCUGGAAUGGCAUGCUGGAAUGGCCUCGGCUGCUCCUGAAGCCCCUUCAGUCAAGUCAUCCGCAUAGAGGAGAGACUGGGGCUGUGCAGCCACUGAAGGAAGUCCGCAAGGGAAGCAAGCAGAAGCUGCUGUAAAAUGACUCAUCUGCGAAAGCCCAUGUGUCUGCCUACCGUCGCCAGAGGAGCAGUUACAUGGCGUCUGUUUCAUGUUUGCUUUCCACAUCACACGAGUACACGUCAUCAGAGGAACCUACCCCAGAACACAGCUGGCGAAGACUCUGGGGAAUGUAGAUUCCAAGACUCUCCAACUCUCUGCUCCUCAGCUGGUCAAGGGUCUUUACCUUGUGGAAUGACCCAAACCUUUGUUCCUGAAGAGUCUGAGCCUGUUCUGAUCCACACUGGUGGUGGUAUCUUCCAUCAACUGGUACCUUUGGACAUGCAAAGAAUUUUAAUAAAGAAAAAUGGGAGGGCAGAGGCAGAUGAAUGCUCAGUGAAACGCUGUGUACACCUGCACAUCUGGUUCUCUUGCCGUGGGGAAGAAGAAGGAAUGGAGGCUUGAUUCUGAGCCUUCUGUCUGCCUGAUGUCUUCUCCCAGCUUCCAAGAGGACUUAUCACCCCCUGCCGCCCCACCCCCACCUCCAUGGCUGGGAUGGGGGAGUGCGGCCAGUGCCCAAUGUGGUCUGUGGGGUCCCCUGGCUUCUGCUGCUGCAUCCACGCCUAUUCUUUGACUCUAGAUCCUGUAGGAGGACAGCUCCUUCCUGAGUGGCUACAGGAAUUUCAGCCAAUCUUAGAAGAUCUUAUCUGAGACUGAUCACACCCCUCUAUUGAGGAAGCUGGAACACAUUCCCUACUUUCCCAAAGUCCUGUUCAUCAUUUCUGCCAGGGCGCCUCGGGGGCCCUCAUAGUAGGAGGACCUGUGAUCCUAUAACUGAAUAGCCCAGGAAGGCAUGAAGAUCAGGCCCCAUGGUAAACACCACUGGAAUCACGCACUUUUGAUACAGGAUCAGAUCUUGGCAGUCAAUGGGUAAUACGACAAAAUCAGAAUAUUUCUUAAUGAAAACAUAUGUCCCAAAUUUCCACAUCAUCUUUAAGUAGCCAACAUGUAACCACUGUAGACAACUUAUGGAAGACAUCACUGAGCUCAGCAUGCUUAGUGCCUUGUGCUUGAAAAUCUCCCACCAAGAGUGAAUGAAAAUAUAUCUAUUUCAAAUCAAAGAUGCACACACUCUGUUGUGGAUACUGCACGUUGAGUUCAUUUCACACAGCUAAGGCAUAGAUUCCACAGAUAUACUUUGUUGUGACAGUCUGCAGGCAUUCAAAGCGGCUGGUGAAAAGGAUGGUAUGUGCCUCUGCCAUUUCCGGUACCCAUACUGCCCUUGGUGGAUGUGGCUGGCGUGGCAUGCCAACCACUCAUUUUGCAAGCAGGAAUAUAUGAUGAUAAAUGGAUUUUAGAAUACAUGAUUAAUGACAAGUUAUUGAUAAUGAGCUAUGAAGGAUUAAGAAUUCUCACUACUUUUAAGUACAUUAUUCUAAUUAAUUGUUGAGUACCACAAUUCACAAACUCCAUGCCAAACUAUAGAAAUGCCAAGGUGGAGAAACCUGGUACUAAUUUCAAGGCACUUACGGUCUAAUGUGGUAAUUAUGCUUAUUGGCGAGUCCCACCACCCAGAGACAACUACUGAAAAAUAUCAGUAUAUUUCUUUCUAGUUUUUUCUAUGCCUACAUACCAUAUACCAAAAUUAGGAUCAUACUAAAUAUACAAUUCUAUAUUCUGCUUUAUUUAUUUAACACUGUUUUGUAUGCUUUUCUUACAUUCUUUGAAAAUGUGAGUUUUAAUGACUUCAUGAUAUUCUAUUGUGUGGAUGUUUCAUAACUGAACAAAUUUAUUAUUGUUGAAUAUUUAACGUUUAAUGUUUCCAAACUUACUUUAUUAUAAAUAGUGAUUGCGUGAACAUCCUUGUAUAUAAAUCUGUCUGCACUGAUCAGAUUUCUUUCUUAGAAUACAUCCCUAGAAAUAGAUUUAUUGGUCCAUUUUUUGAUUCUUAAACACAUAUAGCCAAAUUUUU